AAUCCAUCGAACCCCCGACUUCACGAGGGAGCCGUAAUUAGCAUAACGGAAGAUUUGGAUACGUCUCCAAAGCAAAGAGUGGCGUCUGUUACUCUGGUUCAGCUCCUCCGUUUCCUCUGGGUCAAUUGCGCGUUGACAUGCCAGAGAAACAUAAUUUAAUCACAAUCAAUCAAGUUUUUGUUUCUCUUCUGACGUCGAGCUGCUGGAACGCUCGGAGGUCGGAAGUUACUAAUUUUAACCGGGAAAUUCCCGCCUCGGUCCCGACGCCGCGGUCGCCGUGAUUCAUGGUUUGGCGUCACUCAUUUUAUGUCCGUUUGUGUAUCAAAUAAACACAAUUCAGUUGCCAGAAUAAAUGUUGGCAAUGUGUCGCUGCACGCAACAGACAUGUUAGAAACUUUACGUAGUAAUCACUGGAUAAACCUCGUUCAGGUGUUCCCAACACGGCACACAACAUCCCAUCAAAGAUCUGCUCUUUGGAUGCCACUAACAAGGCUGGAGAAGCUCCUGAUAUCUCUUUAAAAAUAUCCACUGGUGUCGUCACAGUCACAGCGGUGAAUCGUCCCAAUAUCUCAUCGAAAAUAUCCGCUUUGGAUGUCUUCAACGCUGCUGGGAAAUAUCCAGUGGUUUCACGCAAACAGGUGUUGGAAGUGCGUAUCGAACGGUGGUCUCUCGCUUCCUCACAUGAAAGUACGUAACUCAACACUUCACUUGAUGACUUGAUGCAACUUAAAUCACAGAAAUGUUGAUAGCAUAUGCUGGCGAGCUGCUUCCUGCUGCUUUUAGUCUUUAUGCUAAGCUAAGCUAACUGUUUCCUGGCCCUCGCUCCACACUUAACGUUCACAUGAGAGUCCAUCAUUUACAUUAAAGUUGUUUUUUUUUCCAAGUUGGUCGAAGAUGUUUUGUAACUUCCACGUUGGACUGCGUUCGUCAUCCGACAACGCAGAAGUCUGUGACGUUAAAACUGUGACUCAGUAGGCAAAGAUAUGAUGCAACAGGUCUCGUAAAUUCUCCAUUUUUUUUUUUUUUUUUUUGCUCCUUGUCUUCUCACGUCGGUUUUCUGACUCCUCGAGUCAACACAACACAGAAUUACAGUGGAACAUCUGCAGUAAACAGUCUUGAUUUAUCUGUAUACAACAAGCAACCAGGCCUAAGCACAACAAAAGAUUAGCAGUGACUCUGAAAGGCUCACAGAACUUUUUUUUUUUAAACUUCUGAUUGCAAUGUUUGUCCUUCGUCUUGUUGUUCAUGUUCCCUGCCUGAGUGCUGAGCCGUCCAGUCAUGUGAGUGUGUUUCACUGCUGCUGCGGACGUCACUUUCAGCCAACAAUGAGCGUCAGUCCCUUCGAUUCAAAAAAAAAAAAAAAAAGUUUAAAGAAUCCAUCUGAGAAACGAAAAUAAAUCAACUCUUAUAAAGCACUUUACUGAGAGACCCGGAGGCUUCCCGCACUGGCUCUCAGGUAGCCAUUAAAAAACUUCAGGACAUAAACAUGUUCCAGCAAUAUUCCAGUAAACAGCGGAAACGUGCAAUGAGUCACCGCAUGCAACAGCGGAGAGGAGAUAACACACACACACACACACACACACACACACACACAAACACACGCCUGAUGUCACAUGACCCCCCGUCCUGGUAGUUUCCAUUAUAACAAGCCUGAGGACAAACCACUCUGGAGCAACUAUUAUACUUAAAGACUCACAGUGUGUUUGUGGUUGAAAAGAAAAAAAAAUCUAAUUAAUAGUGACUUCAUUUCUUUGUGGUGUUUUUAUCUUCCACUGUAUCAUCGUUAUUCCUCAUGCAUGCUUCGUAUUCCUGCAGGGACGGGACUUACACGGGAAGUACAUGUUGUAACGUGGCUGUGUUUAAGUUUCUGCAAGUUUUUAUCUGCAAUAUCUUUCUUUUUCUGGUCGAGGUGGCGAAAUCCUGCACUUGAGACGGCUAGUGGACGAGAGACCAGCGUUUGAGACCACCUCAGCUGAAAAAAUCCAAAACUGAUAUUUUUGACGUGACGUCGGGACAAUUUCCAGCUACAUCUGUGGCGACACAGUCAGAGGUCAGAGCAGCAGCUCACAGUGGACUGGAUGCACGUAUGUCUCCCCCUCCUUCCUCCGUCGCCGGGUCUCACCUGCUCCUGCGUCCUGGACUCAGAGUCGUCCUCACGUGUCGAUGGCGACCUGUCGUCUUCUUACAGUUUGCUGCGAUAAAGCGGAGCUCCCGUCUGUGAGUGUGAGUCUGCAAAGAGUUAAACGCUACUCGUGUUCCCGGUUCCUUAUCCACUCACACCAAAUACUUAAUCCCUCCCCUCCCUCCCCUCCUCACCCAGCCACCCUCUUACUCUUUCUUCUUUGUAUUAUACUCUUUUCUUUCAUCUCCUCCUUACUUUUUACCCUACCUUGUUUCUACCAUCCUUUCUUCCUUCCGUCUGCCAAUAUUUCCUCUCCUCUUCUUCUCUUUAUACUUUUUGCCUUGUUUUUACAUUUUCUCUUCCCUUUUUCCUUCCCCCUCUUUUUUAAGUUUGACUUCAUCUCAAUGAGAAGCUUGUAGAAACUGUAAACCUGCAUGAGACAUCUACGUUUGUAUUGUGAAGAUACCGACAGAAGAGAGGCCGGGACACGAGAGGGAGAGAGAGAUGCAACUAAUGAUUAUUCUCACGAUGAAUCGAUUAUUGUUUGGUCCAUAAAACGUAAAAAUUGUGAGAAAUGCUCACCAUAAUUGCCUCGAGACCAAAGUGAUGUCAUCAAAAUUGCUGCUUUUGUUCAACAAACAGCAAAACUCUUAAUUUCCUGGCAAAGAAAAGUAGAAAAUCCUCACAUUUAAGAAGCUGCAACGAGCAAAUGUUUAAUAUUUUGGCCCGAACUGAAAUAAAUAUUAAUGAUUAUAAUUUAAAGCUCCCCAGCUGGAGUUGAAGCAGAGGAGCUGUGAUUUGUGUCAGGACGUCUUUAUUCUCAUGCAAAAGUUAAAUUAUAAAGCAAAAACAAGAACAAAAAAAACAAUUUCCAUGUUUUGGGACUGUAAAACACAACAAUAAAGAUUUCCCCUGAUAAA